ensembl:lncRNA
GACUGAGCCACCCAGGCACCCAUGCACCCCCUCACUCCCUACCCAUGCCAUUUAUUCUUAAGAAAAGGAGAAUUUCAACUGUGCUUAGGUUAGUUCCAACUUGCAAAGGGGGAAGGUGGGGUUUGACAUUUAAGAUCAGUGUUAAUGAUUAUGAAUAUUUGCAUUGCAAGUGACAAAAGAAAAGAAAAGAAGAGAAAAUCAAACUGGCUCAAACCAUGAAGAAAAUUUGCUGGUUUGGUUAAUAGAAAAGUCUAGAGAUAACUUCAGGUGAGGAUUGAUCCAGGAACUCAAUAAUGUCAUCAAGGACACAGAUUCUUUCCGUUUGUCUGCACUUGCUUUUGGGUGGCUCCCUAGAUGGGCCCCCGUUGGCUGCCAGCAGGUCCCGGGGCUACAGGCUUCCUCAUUCACAUCAAGCAAAGCAGAGAACCUUUGCCAGCUUUCUUUCUUCUGGAAAUUAAGGCUGACUCCAGUUCUCCCUGAAUCCCAUCUCCAGGAAACCCAGUGAAGGGUUCUCCCGUGCCUGGUCGCAAGCUCGGCGAGCCCGGGCCACGUUUCUCUUCCUGGUGCUUCUAACCGCCCUCAGCAGACACGCCUAGAAAAUACCUGGGUAGUAUGGACUGUGUCAAAUCUUAUUUUUCUACUCCUCUGUGAUGUGCAAAGACUUCAAC